GGGUUCGUGGCCUAAUGGUAAGGCGUUAGAUUUCGGUCCUAUUUCCGGCUCUCUAAAGAUUGCAGGUUCGAUCCCUGCCGAGCUCG